AUGUGGACUUCUGACAGCCAAAAGAAGGGAUAUAUGGCUAUUACAGCCCAUUUCAUUGAUGAGUCUUGGAGGCUAAGGAACAUUCUCAUGAGGUUUAUUUAUGUUCCAGCACCACAUAAUGCAGAAGUGAUAGCUGAGCAGCUCCAUGAAUCAUUGGUUGAAUGGAAUCUUGAUGAAAAGCUCUUGACUGUGACCGUUGAUAAUUGCAACGCCAAUGACAAGGCAACUGCGGAGAUUGUGGGGAAGAUAGGAAAAAGUAAGCUUCUUUGUGAAGGUACUUUACUUCACAUGCGUUGUUGUGCACAUAUUUUGAAUUUGAUAGUGAAGGAUGGCCUAGAUGUCAUGCAAUCAGCUAUAGAAAACAUUCGUGAAAGUGUGGCAUAUUGGACCACCUCACCAAAAAGGAUAGAGAAGUUUGAGGAAAUUGCCAAGUAUAAGAAAGUGAAAAUAAAAAGGAAGUUGAAACUUUGA
rnacentral:rRNA from 1 species